CCAGACGGAAGAAUGUGAUAUGCAUAUUUGGAGUCUGUCUUUCUUGGGGAAGAAAACACAUGCACAAAUCCUGGUGUUAGGAAUAUUUUAAGCGUAUAUCUUCAAUAUUAUUCAUCCAGGACUGAUCAAGACCAACCCUCUUCCUCCUCCUCUGCCUACUCAAUGUGAAGACAAUGAGCAUGAACAACUUUAUGAUGCUCCACUUCCACUUAUUGAAUAGUGCUACACAUGAAACUUCUAACCAGUUACUACAGGCAAAAGCAAAUCCAUUUUCUUCAGGCUGGUGUCAUCAGGGAGAGAAGCUUUGGUUUCCAUAUAAGGAUAUACGAUCAUUGACGUAAAACGACAUGUAACCUCUCAAAUUGAGAGAAUGGAUUGCAGAGCUAUUGUUGACCAUGUUUUCCCCUGUAUCUCACCUUCCCCUCUCCAAGACUUUCUUGUCAAUUACCCAUAUUGAUAUCAGUUUAUCCACAUCCAUGCUUUCAAGUUUAAACAAAGAAACUAGGCAAAGGCAGCUAUGUAUUCGCUAGGAUUAGGGAGAAGAUAAUCAACCACUGGGUGGUGAGAAGAAAGAGAGGUGGAGAAAGUGAGAGACCCCAGUAACAGAAGACAGAGAUACAUUGCUAAGGAUAGGGACACAUUCACUGUAAUAUAGAAGGCCAUGCUUAUAUGUAAAAUAUGCAAUAAUUGUAUAUAUAUGUACAAAAGUGAUAUACACAUAUGCACAUAAACAAAACACAAUUACUAUCUAUGUUUCUUUAUUUGUGACCUAAUGUUUUAUGUUGUUUGUAAGUGAAAAAAAAAAUUCCCUUCUGAAUAAAAUGUCAAUUGUGCGAUUGCA
rnacentral:lncRNA from 1 species